rnacentral:rRNA from 1 species
UUACCUCUCCCCUAGUAGAGGCUGUAGCUGAACCAAGGUGUGUUUACCUUGGUAAGCUCAAAUUCCCAAUAAAAUCGACGAAUGCGUCUUUCGAAGGCGUGGCCGAGCUGUAAUCUACACAAGUGUUUUUCCGUGCCGGACCAUGUCCAAGUCCCUCGGUAAAAGGGUAUCCCAGCCUAGGGGUCACAAUCCCGUACUUGACACGACAACCGGUGCUCUAUGAUACACCUUUCUACGAAUCGAGUCGUUGGGGAAUAAAAAAAAAAAAAGAGUGGUAAAUUCCAUCUAAAGCUAUACAUAUACGCAAAAGACCGAUAGCGAACAAGUACCGUGAGGGAAAAAUAAAAAGCACUUUGGAAAGAGAGUUAAACAGUACGUGAAAUUGUUGAAACGGAAACGAUUGAAGUCAGUCGUGACUGUUGGUCUAAGCUGGUUCUGCCAGUGUAUUACCAGCAUUCGGGCCAAGCAUCAGUAAUUGAGCGGAGGAAAAAGGUAUGGAGAACGUAGCACCUUCGGGUGUGUUAUAGCUCCAUAUUGCAUACACUGCUUGAGACUGAGGAAUGCACCUCGCCUGUAUGGCCAGGGUUCGCCCACUUCCGAGCUUAGGAUGUCGACCAUAGAUGGCUUUAAACAACCCGUCGUGAGCAA